CCGGACUCAACCUUCACGUAACAAUAUUUAAAGUAUUGCGCUGUCAUAGUAACGAAAAUGAUAAACACGUCAAUCGGAGUAAACAAGUAACUAAAUGAUGCAAACAAGAAAAUAUUGCAAAAUAGGUACAUAUAUAUGUACCGAUAAUUAUUUUGUGUUAAAAAUAUGAGGCAAAUUAUACUGCCCGAUUAUACGGACUACAUAUUAAAAACGAUUAUCUUGGAAACAGUCAAUAGAUGUCGAACCACCAGCAAAGUUUUUGAAGAGGUGUAGUUCCUGGUAUCAACUGGAAACUGAAACUAAUAAUCUACACUCAAGAAAAUGAAAUAUAGUCACAGAAAACUUUAAUGUUUUAUUUUAUUAAAGAAAAACGUUAAAAAAAUGUGUAAACAGAAA